CCUGGCGGCACUAGCGCGUGGUCCACCUGACCCAUGCCGAACUCAGAAGUGAACGCCGUAGCGCCGAUGGUAGUGUGGGGUCUCCCCAUGUGAGAGUAGGGAACUGCCAGGC
rnacentral:rRNA from 1 species